ACGAUACCUUGGAUUGAUAGAAAGAUUAUUUUACUGUAUAACAAGGAGAACUCAAGUCUAGUUCAGUGUCUUGAGAAUGAGGAGUGUUGGGAGUCUGAAGCUGAAGCAGAUGAUGUCACUGUUGGAGCAUGAACUAAACCAAAGUAAUCAGUUAAUGUCAAUGCAUCAUACCAUCAGCGAGAAGAAGGAUGUGAACUACCGGACUGAUGAUGAAGUAUAUAACAAUUUGGUGGUGUGGAGACAAAGCUGCAUCGCACAAUUGGUGAGGUUGACAGAGAAACUGAUAGUAUCAAGAAUGAGAUAAAUCACCACACUAAGUAUGGUCGUCAGGGAACCAAGCAGGCUGUGGACUGUGAUGCCAGGGGUACUCAUUGGUUGCAACUCCGGCCAGAAGUCAAUCGAGACGGCUAAGAUUAUUGCUGCAGUUUGGGUGAGGGGAGAGCACCAGGGUUUGAGUCUCUAACUGGAAUCUGGUUGAAGCUGUUCAUGCAUUAACCAAUAACUGAGAUUGUGCUGCUGGAAUUGGAUUUGAAAUCUCAACAAUCUCAACUGAGGUCAAUGAUGCAGACAUCUCUGAUAUUACAGUAGCAGUGAAGGCGUACCAUGGACCCCCAAAGUACUCCUCAGCCAUCGCUCAGAAAACUACUGUAGCUGAGAAGGCCACUGCAGCAACAGGAUCCUAACUAUCUCAACCAAAGUUGAGGAUGCAGACAUCUCUGAUAUUACAGUAGCAGUGAAGGCGUACCAUGGACCCCCAAAGUACUCCUCAGCCAUCGCUCAGAAAACUACUGUAGCUGAGAAGGCCACUGCACCAACAGGAUCCUAACUAUCUCAACCAAAGUUGAGGAUGCAGACAUCUCUGAUAUUACAGUAGCAGUGAAGGCGUACCAUGGACCCCCAAAGUACUCCUCAGCCAUUGCUCAGAAAACUACUGUAGCUGAGAAGGCCACUGCAGCAACAGGAUCCUAACUAUCUCAACCAAAGUUGAGGAUGUAGACACCUCUGAUAUUACAGUAGCAGUGAAGCAGUGAGUAUUUAAUAUUGAGUAUUGAGUGUUGAUCCCAUGUACGCCACAUGCAGCUACUGUCUGCAUCACUCACCCUAGACCUAUUUAUAGGACUCUAUCUCUGUACACAGAUACAGAGUCUUAUUUUGGGGCGGAAAAUUUUCAAGGCCUCAUAAGUCAAAUCUUACUUGCAUUAAGCCACUAAUUUCAACAGAUUCACAUUCUAUGGCGGCAUACAUUUUUCUGUGGUGGGUUUUGGUCCGCAUAUGUUUCUCACAAAUCUGGCAUUUUCGUGAAAUAAUGCAGCUGCCAAUGCUAAGAAAUUCCCGUUUGAUCGUACUCUCUCACAGUGUUGUCUGCUGCCGUGCGUACGCGUAUACAUUGGCGUGCAAGACACAAGAAGAGACACAUGAAUUCUUGGUCACCGUCAUAGAUAUAGAAUAGAAUAACUAGAUCAGCCGCGUUUUACAGCCAUUUCUUGAAUACUAGAAGAUUGAAAUACAUGUACUCUUCCAAAAACCAAUGAUGUACCAUUCUUUUAUGAUGUUUCUUUAAUACUAGAGGAUUGGAAAAAACGUACUCUUCCAAUAACCAAUGAUGUACAAUCCCUUUAUGAUAUGUUUCUUGAAUACUAGAGGAUUGGAAUGGUACUCUUCCAAUAACUAAAGAUUUACCAUCCCGUAAAGAUAUAAUUCUUGAAAACAAGAGGACUGGAAUGAACACACUCUUCCAUUAACCAAUGAUGUACAACCCCUUUAAGAUAUGUUUCUUAAAUACUAGAGGAUUGGAAUGAAUGUAUUCUUCUAAUAACCAAAUGUUUCAUGAAAUCUAGAAAAUUUUACUUACUCCCCCCCCCCCUUCCAUUAAAAACCUUGUACAUAAUCAGUCUUUAUGUAUGCUGAUAUUUAUGUAUUAUUGGAAAGGCGUGUUUAUAUUUUCAAUGAACAUUUUGAGGGUGUGAAGUAAUUAAAUGUUGGUUUAUUUACACACUAGGUAACAAUUGUUUGUGUACUGUAGCUGUUGUUCUAAAAAGGGCCCUUUGUUAGCCUGAAUGUUCUCUGACUUUAUCUCUGGCUUAUUUCAAAUCUAUUGAGGAUAGAUCUUGAACCAAUUGCAUUAAGCCUGUAAGCAUGAACAGUUGCCAAUCACAGAAAAAGCUUGCUUAACAGAAACUGGUUACCAGCCAAAAUUCCACAAAGUUUCGUUGCUGGUGUUAAUCACUGGUGUUAAUGUUUCCUUCAGGGCCAAACUUCAUAAAGCUGUUGAGCAGAAAAACUGCUAGACAAAAUUGUUUGCUAAGGAUAAAUUGAGUGGGGCAACAGGCUGUCUAAACCUAUUUCUAAUGUAACUUUGGCUGGUGAUGUUUUUUUGCUAAGCAAUACUUUUCUGUUCUUAGCUAAUUUUGUUGUGCCUUGCUCACUUUUGAAUUAAUUGUACUGUAGUUUUAAUGUCGCUGUUACUAGUAACUACCACUACCUUUCGGGUAAAGGUUAAAUCAAUAAGCAAUUAAUCAUGACACAACCAUUUUAUUUGUCUUUAAUUCAAACCAGAGUAACCAAUAACAAGACAAACCAGACUUAAUGAAAUCAGCAUAAGAACUGUCAUUGUCACUGUGGGCGUCGGGGACCCGACUGUUGCAGCAAAGUCAAUAAUGUCAAGAUGUCUGUAUAAACAUUCUCAGAAUGCAUGACUUUCCGAGCUGACGAAGUGUUCAACUGGGAGGAGGAGAAAUGUGAACAUAAAACCAGAUGUUUAUAUCUCAGUGUGAGGCAAGGAAGGUCAAGUGAAAGAGAGCAAUUGGAGUACAUCAGAUAGGAACACGGGACGGCAAAGAAUGAUGGAAGGUGUUUCGAUUAGGGCUCAGUGGAAGAUU